AUUAAGACUCUCGGCAACGGAUAUCUCGGCUCUUACAUCGAUGAAGAACGUAGCGAAAUGCGAUACUUGGUGUGAAUUGCAGAAUCCCGUGAACCAUCGAGUCUUUGAACGCAAGUUGCGCCCGAGGCCUUCGGGUCGAGGGCACGCCUGCCUGGGCGUCACGCAUCGC
rnacentral:rRNA from 1 species